AACGCACAUUGCGCCCGGUGGUAUUCCGCCGGGCAUGCCUGUUCGAGCGUCAUUAUAACCACUCAAGCCUAGCUUGGUAUUGGGGUUCGCGGUGCCGCGGCCCCUAAAAUCAGUGGCGGUGCCGGUAGGCUCUAAGCGUAGUAAAUAUCCUCGCUAUAGGGUCCCUCCGGUUACUCGCCAGAACCCCCCAUUUUUUCAGGUUGACCUCGGAUCAGGUAGGGAUACCCGCUGAACUUAA
rnacentral:misc_RNA from 1 species